rnacentral:rRNA from 1 species
GGCGUGCUUAACACAUGCAAGUCGAACGGAAAGGCCCUGCUUUUGUGGGGUGCUCGAGUGGCGAACGGGUGAGUAACACGUGAGUAACCUGCCCUUGACUUUGGGAUAACUUCAGGAAACUGGGGCUAAUACCGGAUAGGAGCUCCUGCUGCAUGGUGGGGGUUGGAAAGUUUCGGCGGUUGGGGAUGGACUCGCGACUUAUCAGCUUGUUGGUGGGGUAGUGGCUUACCAAGGCUUUGACGGGUAGCCGGCCUGAGAGGGUGACCGGCCACAUUGGGACUGAGAUACGGCCCAGACUCCUACGGGAGGCAGCAGUGGGGAAUAUUGCACAAUGGGCGGAAGCCUGAUGCAGCAACGCCGCGUGCGGGAUGACGGCCUUCGGGUUGUAAACCGCUUUCGCCUGUGACGAAGCGUGAGUGACGGUAAUGGGUAAAGAAGCACCGGCUAACUACGUGCCAGCAGCCGCGGUGAUACGUAGGGUGCGAGCGUUGUCCGGAUUUAUUGGGCGUAAAGGGCUCGUAGGUGGUUGAUCGCGUCGGAAGUGUAAUCUUGGGGCUUAACCCUGAGCGUGCUUUCGAUACGGGUUGACUUGAGGAAGGUAGGGGAGAAUGGAAUUCCUGGUGGAGCGGUGGAAUGCGCAGAUAUCAGGAGGAACACCAGUGGCGAAGGCGGUUCUCUGGGCCUUUCCUGACGCUGAGGAGCGAAAGCGUGGGGAGCGAACAGGCUUAGAUACCCUGGUAGUCCACGCUGUAAACGGUGGGUACUAGGUGUGGGGUCCAUUCCACGGGUUCCGUGCCGUAGCUAACGCUUUAAGUACCCCGCCUGGGGAGUACGGCCGCAAGGCUAAAACUCAAAGGAAUUGACGGGGCCCCGCACAAGCGGCGGAGCAUGCGGAUUAAUUCGAUGCAACGCGUAGAACCUUACCUGGGUUUGACAUGGAUCGGGAGUGCUCAGAGAUGGGUGUGCCUCUUUUGGGGUCGGUUCACAGGUGGUGCAUGCCUGUCGUCAGCUCGUGUCGUGAGAUGUUGGGUUAAGUCCCGCAACGAGCGCAACCCUUGUUCACUGUUGCCAGCACGUUAUGGUGGGGACUCAGUGGGGACCGCCGGGGUCAACUCGGAGGAAGGUGGGGAUGACGUCAAGUCCUCAUGCCCCUUAUGUCCAGGGCUUCACGCAUGCUACAAUGGCUGGUACAGAGAGUGGCGAGCCUGUGAGGGUGAGCGAAUCUCGGAAAGCCGGUCUCAGUUCGGAUUGGGGUCUGCAACUCGACCUCAUGAAGUCGGAGUCGCUAGUAAUCGCAGAUCAGCAACGCUGCGGUGAAUACGUUCCCGGGGCUUGUACACACCGCCCGUCAAGUCAUGAAAGUUGGUAACACCCGAAGCCGGUGGCCUAACCGUUGUGGGGGAGCCGUCGAAGGUGGGACUGGUGAUUAGGACUAAGUC